rnacentral:pre_miRNA from 2 species
UCAACCCAUUUAACCUUCUAACCCAUCAAAUUAAAUGAGUUCAUGGGUUGACUCAACUCAUUUGGCUAAAUGAGUUGAGUCAACCCAUGAACUCAUUUAACUCUAAACUCAUUGGGUAAUGAGU